CAGGUAGGACUACCCGCUGAACUUAAGCAUAUCAA
rnacentral:rRNA from 3 species